rnacentral:rRNA from 1 species
UACGUAGGGUGCGAGCGUUGUCCGGAAUUAUUGGGCGUAAAGAGCUCGUAGGCGGUUUGUCGCGUCUGCUGUGAAAACCCGAGGCUCAACCUCGGGCCUGCAGUGGGUACGGGCAAACUAGAGUGCGGUAGGGGAGAUUGGAAUUCCUGGUGUAGCGGUGGAAUGCGCAGAUAUCAGGAGGAACACCGGUGGCGAAGGCGGCGUUCUGGACUGCAACUGACACUGAGAAACGAAAGCCAGGGUAGCAAACGGG